rnacentral:tRNA from 1 species
GGUCUUGUAGUUUAUUUAAAAUAUUAAGUUGCAAACUUUAAGAUACAUGAAAUAUUUAUUGUUAAGACUU